rnacentral:rRNA from 1 species
AGUGAAUAGAUACCCAGGUAGUCCACGCCCUAAACGAUGAUCACUGGGUGUUCGGGGAGCGAUCUCUGAGUACCGUAGCUAACGCGUGAAGUGAUCCGCCUGGGGAGUACGGUCGCAAGAUUAAAACUCAAAGGAAUUGACGGGGACCCGCACAAGCGGUGGAUGAUGUGGAUUAAUUCGAUGCAACGCGAACAACCUUACCUACCCUUGACAUGUCCGGAAGCCCGGUGAGAGCUGGGGGUGCCCGAAAGGGAACCGGAACACAGGUGCUGCAUGGCUGUCGUCAGCUCGUGUCGUGAGAUGUUGGGUUAAGUCCCGCAACGAGCGCAACCCUUGUCCCUAGUUGCUACGCAAGGGCACUCUAGGGAGACUGCCGGUGACAAACCGGAGGAAGGUGGGGAUGACGUCAAGUCCUCAUGGCCCUUAUGGGUAGGGCUUCACACGUCAUACAAUGGUCGGUACAGAGGGUUGCCAAGCCGCGAGGUGGAGCCAAUCCCGGAAAGCCGAUCGUAGUCCGGAUCGCAGUCUGCAACUCG